rnacentral:pre_miRNA from 9 species
UGGAUACCUUGGCUGGUUUGGAAAGUUCAUUGUUCGACACCAUGGAUCCCCAGGUGGGUCACGUUUCAAGAUACACCAACCUGGAGGACUCCAUGCUGUUGAGCUGUUCACAAGCAGCGGACACUUCUA